rnacentral:lncRNA from 1 species
GAGUUUUGGUCCCUGUUUUACCCUCCUGGUUCACGCUUCUGUCUUACCCAAAAUCCACCGUCUUCUGUUUCUUCCUUCUACCUUUCUUCUCCACUCUCCUCACCUUUCUGUCUUACCUUUCUAUCUCCACCGAUUGACGCUUCUACCUUUCUGUCUUACCUCUCUUUGGCGUCACAACUGGACUUCGAACACCGAUCAGAAAGCAGCCUCCUUCUCACGUUUUCCGUUCCUCUCCA